rnacentral:rRNA from 1 species
UACGGGGGGGGGCAAGCGUUGUUCGGAAUUACUGGGCGUAAAGGCUCGUAGGCGGCCAACUAAGUCAUACGUGAAAUCCCCCGGCUUAACCGGGGAACUGCGUCUGAUACUGGAUGGCUUGAGUUCGGGAGAGGGAUGCGGAAUUCCAGGUGUAGCGGUGAAAUGCGUAGAUAUCUGGAGGAACACCGGUGGCGAAGGCGGCAUCCUGGACCGAUACUGACGCUGAGGAGCGAAAGCCAGGGGAGCAAACGGG